rnacentral:misc_RNA from 1 species
CUACAGUUAUCUGCCAACUUGAAAAGCUCUAUCAGCAAAACUAGGACUGUAACUUGGCUCUUGUUUAUAUCAUUACAAAUCAUAAAUAAACUUCAUUCCACAAAACAAAAGGUACCACAUGAACUUACCCAUUCCAACCUCCAGGGUUCCUUCCUCCAUGUUUUCAAUAUUUUUUUUUGCCUUACCCAUAGUUAACCUUUUCUUCUGAAAUACAGAGGAGAAAAAAGUAGAUGGACCGGAGAGAGAAUAAAAACCGGAAUCAACGUGAUGCCACGCUAGUGAAAGAGAG